AGUGAACGCUGGCGGUAGGCCUAACACAUGCAAGUCGAACGGCAGCACAGUAAGAGCUUGCUCUUACGGGUGGCGAGUGGCGGACGGGUGAGGAAUACAUCGGAAUCUACUUUUUCGUGGGGGAUAACGUAGGGAAACUUACGCUAAUACCGCAUACGACCUACGGGUGAAAGCAGGGGAUCUUCGGACCUUGCGCGAUUGAAUGAGCCGAUGUCGGAUUAGCUAGUUGGCGGGGUAAAGGCCCACCAAGGCGACGAUCCGUAGCUGGUCUGAGAGGAUGGUGAGCAAGAGGGGAACAGGAAUGCAGAAGAGAAGACUACGGGAGGCAGCAGUGGGGAAUGGUGGACAAUGGGCGGGAGUCUGUACAAACCAUAUCGAGUGGGAGAAAAAGACCUUGUGGUUGUAAAGCCGUUAUGCGGGUAAAAAAAAGCAGCAGGUUGGGACGCCGCGGUACGGACGGUAAGGAAAGAAUAAGCACCGGCUAACUUCGUG
rnacentral:rRNA from 1 species